rnacentral:rRNA from 1 species
UACGUAGGGUGCGAGCGUUGUCCGGAAUUAUUGGGCGUAAAGAGCUCGUAGGCGGUUUGUCGCGUCUGCUGUGAAAACUCGGGGCUUAACCCCGGGCCUGCAGUGGGUACGGGCAGACUAGAGUGCGGUAGGGGAGACUGGAAUUCCUGGUGUAGCGGUGAAAUGCGCAGAUAUCAGGAGGAACACCGGUGGCGAAGGCGGGUCUCUGGGCCGUAACUGACGCUGAGGAGCGACAGCGUGGGGAUCAAACAGG